CAGAAAGUCACAGUUGCGACUUUUUUUGUGACUGUUUAGAAGAUAUUCUCAACAGGCAUUAUUGUAAGCCAGGUCUGACCUGGCUUUGACUUUUGGAGAUGGUUUUUAUGCUUAGAAUCUCAACUUACACUAAUGUCUUUUAAAUUUGAUGUUUCAACAACUAGCAAAACAACCUCAUUUUACAUGGCCACAUAUUCAUCAUUUGGCCAUCCAAUUUUGGUUUGUUUCUGUUUGUAAUUAGAAAAAUUUAGUUUUUUCAGUCAAGUUCAGAUUAUUCGUGGGAGGAGGAAAGCUCAUCUGCAGACUCAACAUGGGAAGGUGAACAUAUUACUCCAGAUUUGAGUCCUGCAAGUAACAUCCAUAUGGAAAACCCUAAUGACCCUUGCUGGGGCCCGGAUGAAGUUAGGCCAGCACCCACAACAGACUUGAAGGGUAGACUUUCCAAUUCAAAGUGGUGCAAAUGUGGUAAUUGCACACCAAUGCCCACAGUUGAAGAAAGUAUGUGCUGUAAGGAGUUUGCCUCCAUAAAUGAUUUCUCCCAGGAUCACAUUUGUGUCUGUGACAAUGCAAAAUUUAUAGCUAAAGUACUUGAUCGUGAAACUUUGAUUGACUUCAUAAGGAUGUCUCGGGAUCUCAGCAUUAAAAAAAAGAAAGAUAUGAUAACAGAUACCUGGGAGAGGGACAACGUGUUCCAUUCCCAACUUGUGUGCAGACCCGCAUUAGAGCUGUUUACCCUGAUCCAAAUGGUGUGUACACAGAGUUCAAAUGGUACAGGCAGUACUCCGGCCCCCAGAUCCCAAAGGAGUUCAACUUUUAAUGUAUUGAAAUGUAUUUUCUAAUUUUGCCUAAAUGUUUGUUUAGAAUUAUUUUGCUAUAUGUGGGCUUCCAAAAAUUAUUUUUUACUUAUAACAAAAGAAGCUAAAAACAAAAACUGUAUAAUUUGAUAAAAAAUUGUGA